AUUGAUGGUUUGUAUAUUUUGCUUUAAAGUAGUAUAACACUUUUGUUCUCAUCUUUUGCCACGUUUCACUGCUUUUACACCUCCUCACCCACCACUGCUAAUACUCUCUCUCAUUCUCUUCUUCUCUACAAUCAGAUACACCCUCCUACACACACGCUCUCAAUAGAGAGAAACAUGAGACCAUGGAGAACUCUGCCGCUGCUAGCCGAUGUACGGCUUUGCAAGGCGGCGGUCGAUCGUGGUAACGAUGGCGCACACCGAAACUGAAAGACAAGGGUGAUGGUGGUAACUGGUAGCCGUGUUAGCCGCAAGUCUCGACGGUCGCUGCUCACCUGAAUCGACCGAUACUUCUUUAUAUGCACCGCUCACCACCGACGUGAUUUCCCUAAAUCGAGACAAUAGAGACGGAGCGGUGUUGUUAUUAGGGUUAUUUGACCAAAUCGGUCGGCGAUUGAAGAUUUUAAGCACGAAUCUUUGAUAUGCACAACGAACUCACUCAGAUGAGGUUGACAUUUGAGUAUGAGGUGGGAACCAUGAUCGAGAUUCCUCGAGCUCGAUCUUCAUCGACAAGUGGUCGCACGAAGCGUAUUUUAUUGGUGAUAUUGAAACAUCUCUACAAAAGAAUGGAUGAAAUUGAUUGAGGGUCUCAUUUGGUUUCCAACUUCCAAGAGGUGAAGCAAGUAAAAAGUUGAUGACUGGGCCUUUGAAGAGGACCAACAGUUGAAUCAUUGGAUGUAUAGCGUGUGUUGCAACCGUGUCCUUGCGACGGUGGUGACGGAGACGCGAUGGCAACCGGCUACGGACGUGGCUUCUCCAUUCGUUCUGCGACUCUCUGACAAAGGGGCUAUUGUGAAUAUUUGUUCUCAUGCUGCAAUAAAAGGGUAUGUGAUCAGUUUUCGAGGUGGUGUUUGUAUGUUGAGGAUCAUGUUGAUUAGUGGUGGUUGCAAAAUUUCAAAGACAUAAAGCAAUAGGUCUCACGCCACAACACGCGGAGACAACCAACUUAGUGAAUGCUUUGUGCCUCCGACGCAACGUGCGGCGGGCUAAUUUCUUAUCAUUUUCAACAGCUUCACUUGAGUAUGGCUAUUUUAUACUGUUAUGGUCCUAAUUAUUAGUUACACAUGUUUGAAUGAUAUGUUUUUAAUCCUUUUGAAAGAGGGGCAGCUAUUGAACUUUUUGCUUGGAUUUUAAAUUUUGUAUCGUGUUGAAACGAGCUCCCAGAUCUGUUUUGAGACGUGACAAGAGAAAGUAGGUGUUCUGUCGGUCUGUCGGUUCCAAAAGGUAGUCGCAAAAUGGAGAAGAUAUCAACUGUAAUAACUGGAGCUGACAAAAAGUUGCUGAAAAUAGAACUCCAAGACAAGGGUUACGUUGGAAGGAAAUAUACAAUCUAAAGUCAAGGUUAAAUUUAUACUUUGGACCGAUUAGCGAACCGACCUGUCUGGUUUCCAAAACCAUAGAAGAAGAAAAAGACAUAAAUGUCCAUGUAAUGAUUCAAACCCAAGAGCUGGUCAAGAUUGUCUUUGAAGGUAAAUAGAAACAAAGAAGUUUUAUGCCGAAAAGAGCUGGAACAUAUUAUACGUAUGAAGUGAUCAUCAUUAGGAACAGGCCCAUCGGUAGCGACUAUGAUCAACAACAAAUAUGUUGUCGAUAGUAAAUGUGAUAAGAAAGUACAUUGGACUAUCAACAGAUACUUGCGCUGUCUACAUCUACUCUCCUCAGACUCUACCUUAGCUUUACUAUUGUUGAGAUUUACUGAGUAUGAUGAUGAUGAUUGGACUAUCAACAGAUACUUGGGCGAUCAACAAUAGCCUGAGCUAUUAGCAGCAAUUGCGAUGAGAAGUAACUUGGGCCUUUAACGGAAGUUUGGGCAGUUGGUUGUAACUAAAUUAUUGCUGACAGAAGCAAGCAUUAGCAAUAUCUAAGUUACAACGAUCUCCUAUGGAUGGUAAUCAAAUAAAUGUUAAUUGUUUUAACCACCAACAGACACACUCUCUCCCGAAGUGUUGUGAUGGUUUCCCAAGUCUGGUUCUACUACAUUUACUUCAAGAAAG